CUCAUGCUUAUUUAAUCGAGCCUUUGGUUUAGGUAAGUUUAAGGUUUGAAUUUACUUCGGACCAGUUAACAAAACUCAAGCCCAUGCCCUUCCAGUUAAGAUGUUACGUUUCGAACCAGAAUCCAAAACUUAGUCUAAGUGGGUUAUAAGGUAGCUAGUGAUAACGUAAUUUAUCUUUUUAUUUUGCUUUUUUGUUUAUAACGUAAUUUAUUAGCUAAAUGUAUGGAGUGUGAGAGUGUGCGCCGUGUGUAUAAGAUGCAUGGGGUUAGGCUAAACUAAAGGAAUUAAAAUUUUGAGAGUAUAUUUAAAGAGAAAAUAUAUCUUUUCUGAACAAAACGACUAUUUCCUAACAUCACCAAAAUUUGUCGAGUUUCGUUAAACGAAAAUUAUAGUCUGCUAGUAAAGCAUAUAGAAGAAAAAAAUCGGGAUUUCGAGGUUUCGUAUAUUUUUCCGCGUAAAUUUCAUGUAUAGAGGCAAGUAAGGGACUCACCUGUUUGUAUACGCGGUCUUUCUUCUGACUGUCAACCUUUGUAUACGUUUGGCCUAAAAUAUCCGAUUAAUUAAUUAAUUUUGUAAAAUUUACCAAAAUUUCAAUUCCUUCAGUUUUAAGGGUGGGCAGUUCGGGUGGUGGCAGGUUGGGCAGUUGUAAGUGUCUGUGUGAUGGUGAGGAAAGCGGAAGUUACGAAUGGAAUGCAGGUAGCUUAGGACCGAGGCAGACAGCUUAGGACCGAGGCAGACAGCUUAGGAUUGAGGCAGUUGGUAGGAAUCAGUGGGGGGCACUUGUCAUAUUUCGGCCAUGGGAUUCAAAAUUUGCAUGUCGAGUAUUUGUUACUAAUGCUUGUUGUUUUACAUUUGCUAGGUAUGCGCGUGGCUGCUCUCAAGAGAAGAUCAACUUAGCAAUUUGCAUUAGCAUUUGCAAGGUUGGUCUUUUCUUUGCCCCGCUACCCCGGCUGGCUCUCCGAGUGCUACCUCUACUUUAAGUAGAAGUACUUUUACUGACUUUGUAGAAGUGCUUCUGCUUGAAGUGGAGGUAGCACUUGGGGAGCCGGCCGGGGUAGAGGGAUUUUUUUUAUUUUUUUUUUCAAUUCCCAUGGGAAUUGAAUUUUGAAUUAAAAAGGAGUCUCUUGUAUAAUUAAUGAACAAUUUAUUGAAAAGAAUUUGUAAUUUUACAAUUUGAAUAACAAUAAAAAGAGAACAACCACUGCAUACUGUACUUAUUUAAAUAACAAUAGAAGAAAACAGAACAUGGCACAAAGAGAACAAUUAACAUUGUGUUCCACACAAGUGAAUAAGCACAAGUGAAAACACAACAUUAAAAACUUGUUUGCCCGCGAAUUAACAUUAAAAAAGUUAAUUCUUGAGGAAACAAGAGAACCUGGUCUUUUCAAGAUAAAUGUUUAUACUUCAAAUAUUGUAAAACAACUCUAAUGAUAAAUUUUAGGAGUUGACGGAGAAAUGAAAAGCGUAACACCAGGUUGUUUUACAAAUAAAAUAUAUGGCUCAAAGACAAAGUGAGUCGAACACGCUUUUACUUUUUUUGAAUAUACAACUUUUUGAUAAAGAGAACAAAAUUUUGAGUAUGGAAACUUGAGUAUGGAAAAUAAUGAUUUUAUCGCGAUGUUUAGAUGCUAAGUGAAGUCCAUUCGUUUUAAUUCGAGAUCAGUUGUCAAGCGGUUGUUGGCAAGACAUUGUCGUUGACACAGUGUGACCAGAUUUGGUAAAAAGGUUUACUUUUGGUAAAAUCUUGAAGGUUUUAAUUAUUAAUCAUUAGCAAAAACUGCAAUACGAUGAAAGCAACAAGUAUUUCGAGAUGGGCAUAUUUUUUCUAUUUUGAUGACGUAACUACUGUUUUUUUGGCAUUAUUAUGACGUAAUUAUUUGGGAAGCGGACAUUUGGUAAAGUUUUUCUAAAUUUAGUAAAAUUCGAAGAAAAUUUUGGUAAUGGCCGUAUUGGUUACACCAAUUAAUGAGAGGACUGGGGACGAGUGUUAAAAAGUGCCCAAAUUAAGAAAUGAACCAUAUCACUGAAAAGACCACCUCAAAAUUAGCAAGUAUACAAAGUUUGAAGACUUUAACAUGAAUACCUUUCCAAUAAUAAGCUUUGGAAAAUGUGAAAUUACUGAUUAAAAGAUUGUUUUGGGACGCG
rnacentral:lncRNA from 1 species